rnacentral:rRNA from 1 species
AUUGAACGCUGGCGGCAGGCCUAACACAUGCAAGUCGAGCGAGCGGCGGACGGGUGAGUAAUGUCUGGGAAACUGCCUGAUGGAGGGGGAUAACUACUGGAAACGGUAGCUAAUACCGCAUACCAUCAGAUGUGCCACGAUGGGAUUAGCUAGUAGGUGGGGUAACGGCACAUCUAGGGGACGAUCCCCAGCUGGUCUGAGAGGAUGACCAGCCACACUGGAACUGAGACACGGUCACGACUCCUACGGGAGGCAGCAGUGGGGAAUAUUGCACAAUGGGCGCAAGCCUGAUGCAGCCAUGCCGCGUGUGUGAAGAAGGCCGUCGGGUUGUAAAGCACUUUCAGCGGUGAGGCGUUACCCGCAGAAGAAGCACCGGCUAACUCCGUGCCAGCCGCCGCGGUAAUAC